GGUAACCUGCCCGGAAGCAGGGGAUAACACUUGGAAACAGGUGCUAAUACCGUAUAACAACUGAAACCGCAUGGUUUCAGUUUGAAAGAUGGUUUCGGCUAUCACUUCUGGAUGGACCCGCGGCGUAUUAGCUAGUUGGUGGAGUAAUGGUUCACCAAGGCAAUGAUACGUAGCCGACCUGAGAGGGUAAUCGGCCACAUUGGGACUGAGACACGGCCCAAACUCCUACGGGAGGCAGCAGUAGGGAAUUUUCCACAAUGGACGAAAGUCUGAUGGAGCAACGCCGCGUGAGUGAAGAAGGGUUUCGGCUCGUAAAACUCUGUUGUUGAAGAAGAACACAUCUGAGAGUAACUGUUCAGGUGUUGACGGUAUUUAACCAGAAAGCCACGGCUAACUACGUGCCAGCAGCCGCGGUAAUACGCAGGUGGCAAGCGUUGUCCGGAUUUAUUGGGCGUAAAGCGAGCGCAGGCGGUUUCUUAAGUCUGAUGUGAAAGCCUUCGGCUUAACCGGAGAAGUGCAUCGGAAACUGGGAGACUUGAGUGCAGAAGAGGACAGUGGAACUCCAUGUGUAGCGGUGAAAUGCGUAGAUAUAUGGAAGAACACCAGUGGCGAAGGCGGCUGUCUGGUCUGUAACUGACGCUGAGGCUCGAAAGCAUGGGUAGCGAACAGG
rnacentral:rRNA from 1 species